rnacentral:rRNA from 1 species
UGUGUAGGCGGUUUGCCAAGUUCGGUGUGAAAUCUCCCGGCUUAACUGGGAGCCUGCGCCGAAAACUGGCAGGCUAGAGUGCGGGAUAGGAGAGCGGAAUUCCUGGUGUAGCGGUGAAAUGCGUAGAUAUCAGGAGGAACACCUGCGGUGUAGACGGCUCUCUGGACCGCAACUGACGCUGAGACACGAAAGCGUGGGGAGCAAACA